rnacentral:lncRNA from 1 species
GUUGAACAUCUGUGGCCCCCUGGUGUUCCUUCAUACACAGAAAGAGCUGCCCCCAAGUUGUCAGUAAUAGAGGGUAUGGGGCGGUACCUAAACCUUGUUCUCUCUUUGCAUGUCCACCAGGAGGGCCAGUGGGUAGAGUCUAGAAAACAAAUCAACAGAGAUUCUUGAGGGACUGAAAACAAACUGAGCCUCCAAAUGAAGAGAUAAUUGGGAUUACAAUCUGGGAUUAGCCAUGGCAAUGGGACAUAACAAUCUAUGACCUCUAGGAUUCUGGAUAGCAUAGGGACUUUUCUGUCAUAAUUGGGACCCGUGGCAACCAAAUCAAUGACACUGGGUUGUCAGUGUCAGUAAAGGCCUGCUUUCUGCCUAUACUCAAAUCCCCUUGGGCCCUUGACUUUUUAACUUGCCCUACAAAACAAGUAUCCCUGAAGAUUCAUGUGUGAAUUCGUAGUAACUGGAUACUGGGAUUUAGAUUCUAUGGUAGCCUGGCAACUGGACACAAUAGAAUCUGUGACCUCAGGUCAGAUAGUGUCCAUUCUGGAGAGCUGCAGCUCUGGAUUGUGGGAUGGACAAAGAGGAGUCCCCCAUCAUCCACAGGUGUGUGUGGAAUCCAUAAAAAAACCCCAGCAGCAGGCCCGUAUGACUGCAUUCAAGAGAUGUCUAGGCUAUUCAGGAUCAUAACGGGAGAGGAGGAGUGUAACCCUGGCAGUGAGACAAACGAAAUCUUUGACCUUCUUGAAGUUUGUCUUUAACCAUGAGUAGGCACAAUCGGUAAACAAGUCAAUAAAUAUCCUCGAGGAAGGGCCUUCA